rnacentral:rRNA from 1 species
UGGCGGACGGGUGAGUAAUGUCUGGGAAACUGCCUGAUGGAGGGGGAUAACUACUGGAAACGGUAGCUAAUACCGCAUAACGUCGCAAGACCAAAGAGGGGGACCUUAGGGCCUCUUGCCAACGGAUGUGCCCAGAUGGGAUUAGCUAGUAGGUGGGGUAACGGCUCACCUAGGCGACGAUCCCUAGCUGGUCUGAGAGGAUGACCAGCCACACUGGAACUGAGACACGGUCCAG